UACGAAGGGGGCUAGCGUUGUUCGGAAUUACUGGGCGUAAAGCGCGCGCAGGCGGUCCUUUAAGUCGGGGGUGAAAGCCCAGAGCUCAACUCUGGAACUGCCUUCGAAACUAGAGGACUUGGGUACGGGAGAGGUGAGUGGAAUUCCGAGUGUAGAGGUGAAAUUCGUAGAUAUUGGGAAGAACACUGAUGGCGAAGGCAGCCAUCUGGACCGACACUGACGCUGAGGCGCGAAAGCGUGGGGAGCAAACAGG
rnacentral:rRNA from 1 species